rnacentral:misc_RNA from 1 species
UCGCGGCUUAUCACCGGCAGUCCCCCUAGAGUGCCCAACUUAAUGCUGGCAACUAGGGGCGAGGGUUGCGCUCGUUGCGGGACUUAACCCAACAUCUCACGACACGAGCUGACGACAGCCAUGCAGCACCUGUGUUCUCGCCAGCCGAACUGAAGGAUCUCAUCUCUGAAAUCCAAACGAGACAUGUCAAGGGCCGGUAAGGUUCUGCGCGUUGCUUCGAAUUGAACCACAUGCUCCACCGCUUGUGCGGGCCUCCGUCAAUUCCUUUGAGUUUUAAUCUUGCGACCGUACUCCCCAGGCGGAAUGCUUAAAGCGUUAGCUGCGCCACUGACCGGUAAACCGGCCAACGGCUAGCAUUCAUCGUUUACGGCGUGGACUAC